AAAGCCAGAAAAAAUAAAAUACUAAAAAAGAACAGAAAAACCAAACACAACGAAUCUUUCAUUCGAUUUUGUUUUUCGAGCCUUUAGAUCUCAAAGCAACAUAGAAACCAAUCCUAUUCAACUAAAAUCCCACAGAGCGGCCCCCCCCCCUCUCUCCCUCUCUCUCUACAUUUCACUGGCGAAUUCCUACCUUUUCUACCUGUCUCAACAGCUAUACACACGUAUGAUCUGCAUCCGUGUCGAUGGUUGAUCGGAGUGGUGUUGCUAUGUGGUAUAUUUCAUUGGUUGAUUAACGAGGGACUACAAUUUUGAUGCGUUAUUUGGUUUAGUUUAGAGUCACAGUUGAAAAUUAGGGUAACUGGGUUAGUAGUCAAGUCUGAUCUGUAUUAAUGGUUUCAUAAUGAGUGUGCAGUAGCCAGUAUGUGAUUCAUUGAUGAUGUGAUUAGAAGAUAUAUCAGAACAUUUAAUGGUUGCUUAAAGGGUGGUUGGCAUCAGUUUUAGCCGGUACUUGAUCCGUAGUUAGGCAUCUGAUCUGAAUUAUGUGUUCUUGAUAUGCAUUCUGAUGAUUUCGUGAUGAAUGAGCAUUAUGUGAUUCAAAGAUGUCAGUGAAUUUUGUGGUUGCUUAAAGGGUGGUUGGCAACCUUUUCUUUAGAUCUUUUCUUCGAUGCCCAGUUAUUCAGGAAUACCGAAAAGAGAGGGGGUUUUGGUUUGUGGUUGAGAUCAGGCCCGCUAUGCAGAGCGAAUUUGGUGGUAGGCAAAACCAUUCAUAGUUUGCAGAAGCUGAACUAUCAUGACUUUGUGAACAAAUUAACUAACUUGGGUCCAAUGCUUGUAGAAGUUGCUUGAAAAGGUUAUAACUGAUAUUGGGGCCUUUAAGUCAUGACCGGUUAUAGUUGCCGUAUUUUUUCAAGAUUUUGGUAGAGCAACAGAUUUUUGUAGUGGGUUUGUUAGGUCGCCAAUUUCGGACAUGAGAAGUCCCUGGUUGAGUAAACUAUCCCUUAUAUUCAGCCCUAGACCGCCACGCAACUGGUUACUCUUGUGUCUGAUUGGCGUAAUUGUGGUAGUUGCAUUGUUGGGUUCUUCUUCUUCGAGUGCCUUUGAUUCAGUAUCUCCCACUCCAAGGCCUGACAUCUAUACGAAUUACAGAAGAAUAAAGGAACAAGCAGCAAGUGAUUACUUGGAGUUGAGGUCUUUAUCGUCAGAAGCUACUAGUACAAGGGAGUUUAGUUUUUGUGGCAAAGACACAGAGAAUUAUGUGCCUUGCUAUAAUGUAUCUGGAAAUUUGUUAGUUGGGUUGAAGGAUGGAGAGGAGUUUGAUAGGCAUUGUGAAGUAUUGCAAGAACAACUGCAUUGCUUGGUUCGUCCUCCUAAGGACUAUAAGAUCCCUCUCAAAUGGCCUGCUGGUAAAGAUGUGAUAUGGAGUGGAAAUGUGAAGAUUAGCAAAGACCAAUUCCUCUCUUCUGGAAGCAUGACCAAAAGAUUAAUGCUACUAGAAGAGAAUCAGAUUUCUUUCCACUCCGAGGAUGGUUUGAUAUAUGAUGGUGUCAAAGAUUACUCUCACCAAAUAGCAGAGAUGAUAGGGUUGGGAAGUGACGCUGAAUUUUAUCAAGCUGGUGUGCGCACUGUAUUAGAUAUUGGGUGCGGGUUUGGAAGCUUUGGGGCUCAUUUGCUAUCAUUGAAGUUAAUGGUUGUUUGUAUUGCGGCAUAUGAGGUAACAGGUAGCCAAGUUCAGUUGGCCCUUGAGAGAGGUCUUCCUGCAAUCAUUGGCAACUUCAUUUCAAGACAGCUUCCAUAUCCAUCGUUAUCAUUUAGCAUGGUUCACUGUGCUCAAUGUGGUAUUUUCUGGGAGAAGAAAGACGGGAUGCUCCUCAUCGAAGUUGACCGGGUACUCAAGCCUGGAGGUUACUUUGUUUUAACCUCACCAGCAACUGAGCCACAUGGAAAUUCAUUGAGAACAAAAAGGAAAAGCAUGUUGAAACCAAUUGAAGAACUCACAGAAAAACUCUGUUGGAGUCUUUUGGCUCAACAAGAUGAUUCUUUUAUCUGGCAAAAAACUGUGGAUGCUUAUUGCUAUACAUCUGGCAAGAAGAGUAAUAGACCUCUUUGUAAAGAAGGCCAGGAUGCUCAAUCAUAUUAUCAAACCCUGGUACCUUGUAUUAGUGGGACCACCAGUAAACGCUGGACUCCAGUUCAGAACAGGUCUUCUGGUUUCCUUUUGAGUCCAGCUGAGCUUGAAGUUCAUGGAGUUCAACCUAAUGAUUUCUAUGAAGACUUUGAAAAUUGGAAAUCAGUAGUGAGAAACUAUUGGUCUUUGCUUACACCCUUGAUUUUUUCUGACCAUCCAAAGAGGCCAGGAGAUGAAGACCCGUUACCUCCAUAUAACAUGAUACGCAACGUGAUGGACAUGAAUGCUCAUUACGGGGGUUUGAAUGCUGCAUUUCUCGAAGGCAAACAAUCAGUUUGGGUGAUGAAUGUUGUGCCCCUUGGGGUGCGUAAUACGCUUCCUCUGAUACUUGAUCAAGGUUUUGCAGGUGUUUUGCAUAAUUGGUGCGAUCCUUUCCCCACGUAUCCCCGAACAUAUGACAUGCUUCAUGCGAAUGGGCUCCUCUCACACCUUAUAUCCGAAGGAUGCAGUAUAAUGAACUUGUUCUUGGAGAUGGAUCGUAUUCUACGCCCGGAGGGAUGGGUUAUAGUUGGUGAUAAACUUGGGCCUAUAGAGAAAGCACGUUCACUCGCCACACAGAUCCGAUGGGAAGCAAGGGUAAUUGACCUUCAGAAUGGCAGUGACCAGCGGUUACUUGUUUGUCAAAAGCCAUUUUUAAGAAAAUGAUUGGUUCAGCUGUUGGUGGUCUCAUGCUUGGACUCUCCGGUUUUUAACAUCUGGAUGCCGGUUGUUUUAGUAUCCGUGUCGAUAUGAUAACAAUCUGUGAUUGACGAUGCUAGAAGAAAACUCAGCUUGAUUUUUAUCUAGGAGUUUUGGCGAAGAUCCUUGGUAUUGAAAGAAGCCAUUUUGAAAGUGCAGAGUUGAAGGUUAAAGUUGGACGAUGUAACCAUUCAUUUGUUACCAUUGUUUCAAUGUCUUGUUCCUCUUUUUAUCUUAUUUUUUUCUGUGUUUUUAUAUCUAUUUGUCAAUUUUGUAAUUAAUUGUGAUUUUGUACCGUACAACCUCUACUAUUGGAGAGGGGUGAUGGCCAUGAAUUGUAAGAUGUUUGCCGUAUAAUGCGAUAAUUCUCUCGUCCUUAUUUGGCCCAA